UACGGAGGGGGCAAGCGUUGUUCGGAAUUACUGGGCGUAAAGGGCGCGUAGGCGGUUCUAUAAGUCAGGCGUGAAAUUCCUGGGCUUAACCUGGGGGCUGCGCUUGAGACUGUGGGACUUGAGGUCAGAAGAGGGUCGUGGAAUUCCCAGUGUAGAGGUGAAAUUCGUAGAUAUUGGGAAGAACACCGGUGGCGAAGGCGGCGACCUGGUCUGAUACUGACGCUGAGGCGCGACAGCGUGGGGAGCAAACAGG
rnacentral:rRNA from 1 species